rnacentral:rRNA from 1 species
AGUCGAACGAGAAAGUGGAGCAAUCCAUGAGUAAAGUGGCGUACGGGUGAGUAACACGUGGAUAACCUGCCCCUUUGUGGGGAAUACCGUUGGGAAACCGACGACAAUACCGCAUAAGCUCGAGAGAGGAAAGCAGCAAUGCGCAGAGGGAGGGGUCCGCGGCCGAUUAGCUAGUUGGUAGGGUAAUGGCCUACCAAGGCUGUGAUCGGUAGCCGGCCUGAGAGGGCACACGGCCACACUGGCACUGAAACACGGGCCAGACUCCUACGGGAGGCAGCAGUGGGGAAUCUUGCACAAUGGGGGAAACCCUGAUGCAGCGACGCCGCGUGAGCGAUGAAGCCCUUCGGGGUGUAAAGCUCUUUCGGCAGGGAAGAUUAUGACGGUACCUGCAGAGGCAGCUGCGGCUAACUACGUGCCAGCAGCCGCGGUAAUACGUAGGCAGCAAGCGUUGUUCGGAGUUACUGGGCGUAAAGGGUGCGUAGGCGGUUCUGUAAGUAUGGUGUGAAAUCUCCCGGCUUAACUGGGAGGGUGCGCUAUAAACUGCGGGACUAGAGUGUGGGAGAGGAAAGUGGAAUUCCUGGUGUAGCGGUGAAAUGCGUAGAUAUCAGGAGGAACACCGGUGGUGUAAACGGCUUUCUGGACCAUAACUGACGCUGAGGCACGAAAGCGUGGGUA